CAUAGCUCAGUCGUUAGAGUACCAGACUGGGGAUCUGUCGAUUGCUGGUUCAAUUUCCAGCAAGU